UGGAAAAGCAGACGCAGGCAAAGAGAGCAGAAGACGGAGAACUCUGCCUUUGGUCUAGUUCACAGUUGAGGCAAAUAACUUAAAAAAGGCUGAUGUAAAGUCGAGAAAGUGAGUGACAUAGCUCAACUCCAAAGAGACGGGGGAGACUCAAAGAAAGAAAAGUGAUAACAACAGUCAUCCUGAGAAGUCAACUAUGGGGAAUGGUGAAAGCAGAGUAAACUCAACGGCAGUUGGGGUUCUUGUUGGCUUUGGAAUCCUGUUCAUUCUAUUCACCAUAGGCAUUGUACAAUUCUGCUGCAAGUACAAAUGUAAAAAGUGUAAAAAAUGCUGCAAGAAAAAAGAGCCGUCAGUGAAAGACAAAGUGCUCACCAAAGUCGGCCUGAAGAAGGCUCCCCCUCCCUUCUCCAUUAGCAGAAGCAUAAAAUAACAUCUUGUCUGUGUUUCGAUCAUCACCUUGAUGGAAGGCAUUUAGUCGUUUGUCACGUUCCUACACACCACCUACCUUUUUUCAACACGUAUGGCUCUGUUCCUGCUUGUUAUUUGCUGCUUUAUGUUGGUGUAAAAACCUGAGGAAAACCCAGAGUGAGGGGUUUGUUUACCAUGUUACUUUUUGAUUCCUUUUGAUUAUAUUUGUAUCAUGCAACAACUUUAUUCUAUAGUUAUGUUUAAGAAAAUGCAAACUUUUUCUUGAAACAAGGAGAGGUGUUGCAUUUUUUUCUGUAUAUGCAGAACUAUGUUGCUGUUAAUAUCAUGUGAUUUUAAAAAUAUAAAAUUAUACAUGUAAAUAAAUAAAUAUUUCCGUCCAAUUUCGCACUGGCAGUUUUGUUAUGUGUCAAGAGAAACUGACAAGAUGUUGCGGUGUCCCGUGAUACAGAUUUGAGUAUGCACACACACAUGCACAUGCACACACCAAAUGGGAGAAAGCAUAUAUACAUUGUACUGCAGAGGAGAUUUUUUUUUUUUGCACUGAAGGCAGAAUAUCAACAGCUCAACCACAGCAACAAAGCAGCUUUCUGGUAAGCUGCAGGUGACUUCCCUCCUAAUGCACAUAGCUGGUUCCUUUUUGAUACUUGUGAUAGUUGGUAAAGUCCUUAUAGUCUCAUUAUUUUA
ensembl:lncRNA